AAUCAGAGAAGUGGAUAAAAACGCACGCCUGUCUCCAUUGUCUCCUGUGAAUGAAACAGAGAAGCAGCAGAGGGUUUUUUAAUUUUUUAAUCUGGACUCGAUAUGUCAGCGUGAUUUGGGGUAAACACGUUUUCCAGUGUGCCUGUUUAAUUUCUU